rnacentral:rRNA from 1 species
AUCUGUUUCCUUCUACCCUGAACUCACCCGAUCUCGCCUGAUCUCGGAAGCCAAACAGGGUCAGGCCCAGUUAGUACUUGGAUGGGAGACCAUCUGGGAAUACCAGGUGUUGUAGCGGAGA